CUUCUCACAGAAACCACCCCUAUGGCCCCCUGCUACCAAAACCUUGCCAUGUAAACCCACUACAUGAGGACAAGGCUCUAGUGCUUCCUCCUAGGAGACGACUUUCUGCACAGCAAUUGAACCUACUGGCAGCUGUUCUUCUGCGAUCUUCUGAGGAUCUUCCUAUUGAAAGGUGAAAUGAGGGAGGUAUUGAAUAAUGCAUGGAGCUGAAGCCUCUACAUCAUGGCCAUACUUUCUGAAGUUGCCCAGAGAGGUUGUGGCAUCUCCAUUCUUGGAGGUAUUCAGAACCCAGCUGGAUGCCAUCCUGGACAACAUGCUCUAGCUGAGUUGGGCUAGAUUAUUUCAGGAGUUCUCUUCCAAGCUCAACCAUUCUGUGAUUAAAUCCUCCUUUCCAUAUUGAAAUUAUACAAGGCUAUCAGGUAUUAUAAUAUUAUGUGACUAAACCCUCCCUCCCUCCCUCCCUCCCUCCCUUCCUUCCUUUUUCUAGAAAUAGUACUGAGUUCACUAGGAGUAAGAAUUGCAAUAAUUGCCUGUUAUUUUCCUGACUCCAUAUCAAAGAUCGUCAUCUGUGGUAUAGUUUCUACUAAUGACUGGUAAUUCACCACUACCUGCACUUUAAAAUGGCAUUUUUACUGCUACUGCAACCUUCAGGGAUUUAUCCUGUUCCAAGUUUGAACAGCAAGCAUAUGCCAAAACAAGUAAGCAAGCAGUAUUUUCCAACUCAGCUCUGCUAGCAGCUUUAUGAAAGGUUAGUGAAGCUUUCUGCCACACAUUGAAAGCACUGAACCUAACCAUGUCAACCGGAUGCUUCAGAGGGGAAAGCACUUUCAAAAUGAUCUGUAAUUUGGGGGAACCUGGAAUUGAACUGAAACCAAAUGUGAACUGGCCUGCUGAUUCAACAUGGUAUUUUUAUUUGAUCCCAAAUAUAAAAGUGACCA